GAUGAACGCUGGCGGUAUGCUUAACACAUGCAAGUCGAACGGACUCUUCGGAGUUAGUGGCGGACGGGUGAGUAACGCGUGAGAAUCUGGCUUUGGGUUCGGGACAACCACUGGAAACGGUGGCUAAUACCGGAUGUGCCGAGAGGUAAAAGAGAAAUUGCCUGAAGAUGAGCUCGCGUCUGAUUAGCUAGUUGGUGAGGUAAAGGCUCACCAAGGCAGCGAUCAGUAGCUGGUCUGAGAGGAUGACCAGCCACACUGGGACUGAGACACGGCCCAGACUACUACGGGAGGAAGCAGUGGGGAAUUUUCCGGAAUGGGCGAAAGACUGACGGAGCAAUACCGCGUGAGGGAAGAAGGCUCUUGGGUUGUAAACCUCUUUUAUUAGGGAAGAACAAAAUGACGGUACCUAAGGAAUCAGCAUCGGCUAACUCCGUG
rnacentral:rRNA from 1 species